UAGCGCCACUAUGAGUACAAAAUGUGCACAUUAAACUACUUUGUCAUGUCUACGAGUUUUUCAACGGAUAUCGAGCUAUGGUUCUGUUCUAUGUUAUGCCUGAAAUUUCUGAUUCUAUCCCAUAUUCUGUUUUAAGCGAGACCAAGUGUAGCUUAUCGUUAAUGGAUAUAGCAGUCUUCUUCACAACAUAAAAUGCUUAAUAGAAACAUGGGCAGAGGACAAUUUAGCAGAGAACAUCGAUAUUCGACUUCUUGCUUUGAUUUCCAUUUAGAAGAUUUCCAUCGUCAAGAAAUUGUAGUAAAAUUAUAUGUCUCUUGACAUCGUAAUGCAUAUUUAUAACGAGAUAAGUAAACAUUAAAAUAACAAUAAUAUUAUAUUUAUGUUAUAAUUUUUAUGCUUAGCAAUAGUAAUAGUAACUGUUACAACAUGUGUUAUGUUUAUAUUGCUGAAUGGGAAAUUAUAACAUUAUUAUUAAUGUAAUAUCACAAUUAGUUUUUAAGUUUACUAAUUAACUAUGUAAUUGAAGUUUAA